AAGUCGUAACAAGGUUUCCGUAGGUGAACCUGCGGAAGGAUCAUUGAGGGAGAGUGGGGAGAGAUGUUGGAAUGAGUUGGGAGAUAUCACGUGACAAAAAGAAUUUAUUUAAAAAUGACUAGCCACCUGGGAUCUCUGGGCUCUU
rnacentral:misc_RNA from 1 species